rnacentral:rRNA from 2 species
CACAUUAGUUAGUUGGUGGGGUAAAGGCCUACCAAGACUAUGAUGUGUAGCCGGGCUGAGAGGUUGAACGGCCACAUUGGGACUGAGACACGGCCCAAACUCCUACGGGAGGCAGCAGUAGGGAAUUUUCGGCAAUGGAGGAAACUCUGACCGAGCAACGCCGCGUGAACGAUGAAGUAUUUCGGUACGUAAAGUUCUUUUAUUAGGGAAGAAUAAAUGAUGGAAAAAUCAUUCUGACGGUACCUAAUGAAUAAGCCCCGGCUAACUAUGUGCCAGCAGCCGCGGUAAUACAUAGGGGGCAAGCGUUAUCCGGAACUAUUGGGCGUAAAGGGUGCGUAGGCGGUUAAAUAAGUUUAUGGUCUAAGUGCAAUGCUCAACAUUGUGAUGCUAUAAAAACUGUUUAGCUAGAGUAAGAUAGAGGCAAGUGGAAUUCCAUGUGUAGUGGUAAAAUGCGUAAAUAUAUGGAGGAACACCAGUAGCGAAGGCGGCUUGCUGGGUCUUUACUGACGCUGAGGCACGAAAGCGUGGGGAGCAAACAGGAUUAGAUACCCUGGUAGUCCACGCCGUAAACGAUGAGUACUAAACGUUGGGUAAAACCAGUGUUGAAGUUAACACAUUAAGUACUCCGCCUGAGUAGUACGUACGCAAGUAUGAAACUUAAAGGAAUUGACGGGACUCCGCACAAGCGGUGGAUCAUGUUGUUUAAUUCGAAGGUACCCGAAAAACCUCACCAGGUCUUGACAUGCUUCUGCAAAGCUGUAGAAAUACAGUGGAGGUUAUCAGUUGCACAGGUGGUGCAUGGUUGUCGUCAGCUCGUGUCGUGAGAUGUUGGGUUAAGUCCCGCAACGAGCGCAACCCUUAUUGUUAGUUACCAGCACGUAAUGGUGGGGACUUUAGCAAGACUGCCAGUGAUAAAUUGGAGGAAGGUGGGGACGACGUCAAAUCAUCAUGCCCCUUAUGACCUGGGCUACAAACGUGAUACAAUGGCUGUUACAAAGGGUAA